rnacentral:rRNA from 1 species
GACGAACGCUGGCGGCGUGCUUAACACAUGCAAGUCGAACGGAAAGGCCCUGCUUUUGUGGGGUGCUCGAGUGGCGAACGGGUGAGUAACACGUGAGUAACCUGCCCUUGACUUUGGGAUAACUUCAGGAAACUGGGGCUAAUACCGGAUAGGAGCUCCUGCUGCAUGGUGGGGGUUGGAAAGUUUCGGCGGUUGGGGAUGGACUCGCGGCUUAUCAGCUUGUUGGUGGGGUAGUGGCUUACCAAGGCUUUGACGGGUAGCCGGCCUGAGAGGGUGACCGGAAACAGUGGGACUGAGAUACGGCCCAGACUCCAAAGGGAGGCAAGAGUGGGGAAUAUUGCGCAAUGGGCGGAAGCCUGAUGCAGCAACGCCGCGUGCGGGAUGACGGCAUUCGGGUUAUAAACCGCUUUCGCCUGUGACGAAGAGUGAGUGACGGUAAUGGGUAAAGAAGCACCGGCUAACUACGUG